CCAAGCAAAAUGGCAGCCAAAGCACCAGACUAUCAACCAGCGGAGAGGUGCAGACACUCCACUGUACGGGUAGGAGACUACCUGUACAUGUGGGGUGGGUACCAGCCUGAUCUCCCUAAAGUGCAUAAUAAUGAAAAGAAGAAAUCAAUGUGUUCUGUGAUGGAGGUGUGUCACCUAAGGACUGGUAAGUGGGAGCAGAAACCCUCCACUGGGUGCUGAUGGCUAUGCAGCUGCUGCCAUUGGAAGGGAAAUAUUUUAUUUUGGAGGCUAUUGCAAUCGUUAUGACUGUUGUCAUAAUAAUUUAUACAGUUUUAAUGUUGAUACCUUCAAUUGGAAGGAACUCUCUCCUACUACAUCUCGCAGUCAUGGUCCUAGGACGAAGCGCUACUGUGACAUGAUAGCAAUAAAAGUGAACGGGGAGGACUAUCUUGUAGUAAUUGGAGGAGCUGGAUUAUUGCCUAAUAGUGCCCCCAAACAACCUGGUGCCCAGUACAGUAGCGAAGAAUUAUUUUCUGGUUAUCACCGGUGCAAUGAGAUCCAUUUCUAUAAACUCUCAACAGGUCAGAGCACAUACAGUUUAUAUUAAUAUAAUGAAGUAUUGUUAUUUGGUGGUUCUCCACUCAGACUGGUUGCAUUGAGAAUUGCUUGCUUGUUUGUUCAUGGUUGUCACUCCUAAUUAUUUG